GGUAACGGGUAGUGGAAAACUCUCUAAAUUGCUGGAAUACCGUUAGAGCUUCUUGUGCUACAGCGUGAUCCGAAAGGAUGAGCGCGAAAGCCUGAGAAACGAGAAGAUUCGGCAAUCAGCAGCCAAGUCUCGGGCAGGCCGGGAAAGGUUCAGAGACUAUAAUGGGAGAGUCCUUAUAGGAUUAUGGGAUAGUCCAUUCCAGCUGGAAACAGCAGG
rnacentral:ncRNA from 1 species